rnacentral:rRNA from 1 species
AGAGUUUGAUCCUGGCUCAGGACGAACGCUGGCGGCGUGCUUAAUACAUGCAAGUUGUACGAGAACGCAUCCUUCGGGAUGUUAGUAAAGUGGCGAACGGGUGAGUAACACGUAAGAAAUCUGCCCUCGAGAUUGGGAUAACCCUACUAACGUGGGGCUAAUACCGGAUGAAGUGCUUUUUCCGCAUGGACAAAGCAUGAAAGGCGGGGAUCCUUUUAGGACCUGUUGCUCGAGGAUGAUCUUGCGUUCUAUUAGUUUGUUGGUGAGGUAACGGCUCACCAAGACUACGAUAGAUAGCCGGCCUGAGAGGGUGAACGGCCACACUGGGACUGAGAUACGGCCCAGACUCCUACGGGAGGCAGCAGUAAGGAAUAUUGCGCAAUGGUCUAACGACUGACGCAGCAACGCCGCGUGACUGAUGAAGCAUUUAGGUGUGUAAAGGUCUGUUAGGGAAGAAGAAUAAGGUUGCUCAUAAUACGUGCAACUGAUGACGCUAUUCCCAGAGAAAGCUCCGGCUAACUCCGUGCCAGCAGCCGCGGUAAUACGGGGGGAGCAAGCGUUGUCCGGAAUCACUGGGCGUAAAGGGCUCGUAGGCGGGCCAUUAAGUCAGAAGUGAAAUUUACUCGCUUUACGAGUAACCUGCUUUUGAUACUGAUGGUCUUGAAACCCAAAAGGAGAAUGGAAUUCCGGUGUAGCGUG